UCCCCUAGUAACUGCGAGUGAAGCGGGAAAAGCUCAAAUUUAAAAUCUGGCAGUCUCUGGCUGUCCGAGUUGUAAUCUAGAGAAGUGUUAUCCGCGCUGGACCGUGUACAAGUCUCCUGGAAUGGAGCGUCAUAGAGGGUGAGAAUCCCGUCUUUGACACGGACUACCAGGGCUUUGUGAUAUGCUCUCAAAGAGUCGAGUUGUUUGGGAAUGCAGCUCAAAAUGGGUGGUAAAUUCCAUCUAAAGCUAAAUAUUGGCGAGAGACCGAUAGCGAACAAGUACCGUGAGGGAAAGAUGAAAAGAACUUUGGAAAGAGAGUUAAACAGUACGUGAAAUUGCUGAAAGGGAAACGCUUGAAGUCAGUCGCGUUGUCUGGAAAUCAACCGUGAAUUUCUUGGUGUACUUUCCAGUUAACGGGUCAGCAUCAAUUUUGACUGUUGGAAAAAGGUCAGAGGAAUGUGGCAUCUUCGGAUGUGUUAUAGCCUCUAAUUGUAUACAACAGUUGGGAUUGAGGAACUCAGCACGCCGCAAGGCCGGGUUUUUAACCACGUUCGUGCUUAGGAUGCUGGCAUAAUGGCUUUAAUCGACCCGUCUUGAAACACGGACCAAGGAGUCUAACAUGCCUGCGAGUGUUUGGGUGGAAAACCCGAGCGCGUAAUGAAAGUGAAAGUUGAGAUCCCUGUCGUGGGGUGCAUCGACGCCCGGACUUGACGUUUUCUGACGGUCCCGCGGUAGAGCAUGUAUGUUGGGACCCGAAAGAUGGUGAACUAUGCCUGAAUAGGGUGAAGCCAGAGGAAACUCUGGUGGAGGCUCGUAGCGAUUCUG
rnacentral:rRNA from 1 species